rnacentral:lncRNA from 1 species
CUUUCAACUAUUUAUAUUUAUUUACAACAGACUACAUGUGUGUCGAGUAUUAUAAUUGGAUAACAACACAGAGAUGUCAGUAUAUUUGCUGGGAACUUUCGGAAUAUAUACGAAGUUUGUUUCCAUAGUUUGAACCUUAGAAACAUUUUGACAACACCUGAUACUAUGUGUCGUAGUCAAAAUGUACACAGAACACGAAGGAAUGACAGAGGUUAUCAGAGGAAAAAUAAUUAUGUGAAUCCGUCUAACUAAAAAACGCAAUUUAAAUACUAAAAUCCAAUGUUGUGAUGUCUUAUUAUGAAUUUAUAUAUAUACGAUGAAAUUUGUUCACAACAAUUUACAAAAACCAUCACGUAACCUAUAUGCUUAAUAGAAGGUUGUGUUUUUAAAUAUAUGUGUCCUGUAAAAAACCAAGUUAAUCACACACCGAACACAAAACAUUAAUAUGAAAAAAAGUAAUAGAAAACAGACACUAUUGUCAAAAUAAAAAAAGUUGCAUUUUAAUAAUAAGUUAAUCAAAAUAUUAAGAAAUCUGAACAUGAAGUGAUUAUACAUGCUGCAUUGUGAAUUGUUAACACAUGUAUCCACUGGGAAAAGCACAUUAAAAAGGGAUAAUUCGUUAUAUAUGUGUAACUCAUGUCUGAGACUGGGUAUUUAACGUGACAAUUUCUUCUUAGGGCUUAUACACUCUACGGCGGAAGUGUCACAGUGUAUUCCAUGUCUGAGGCCUGAAUAAUAUAAUUAUACAAUCUUUAUUUUUGUAUUUUAUCAUGUCAAAACAUCUGUAACAAAUUAGAGAUUGAGACUACGGG